rnacentral:rRNA from 1 species
GACGAACGCUGGCGGCGUGCUUAACACAUGCAAGUCGAACGGAAAGGCCCUGCUUUUGUGGGGUGCUCGAGUGGCGAACGGGUGAGUAACACGUGAGUAACCUGCCCUUGACUUUGGGAUAACUUCAGGAAACUGGGGCUAAUACCGGAUAGGAGCUCCUGCUGCAUGGUGGGGGUUGGAAGGUUUCGGCGGUUGGGGAUGGACUCGCGGCUUAUCAGCUUGUUGGUGGGGUAGUGGAUUACCAAGGCUUUGCCGGGUAGCCGGCCUGGGAGGGUGACCGGCCACAUUGGGACUGAGAUACGGCCCAGACUCCUACGGGAGGCAGCAGUGGGGAAUAUUGCACAAUGGGCGGAAGCCUGAUGCAGCAACGCCGCGUGCGGGAUGACGGCCUUCGGGUUGUAAACCGCCUUCGCCUGUGACGAAGCGUGAGUGACGGUAAUGGGUAAAGAAGCACCGGCUAACUACGUG